GAUAGCGGAAUGCAGACUAAGAUCGUCACUUUCUGUGACAACGCCUGCAUGACCCACAUCCUGUGGG
rnacentral:sRNA from 1 species